UUCGUCCAAAGUCCGCUAAAGAGAGGCGAAGAAUUUAAACUGUUUCUCUUUCUUGGACAGCUAAGAGCAAAAGUUCCCCCGGCAUUUCAUUUUAUUAUCUAUCAUUGACCUUGAAUAAACCGACGCCGCUGUAUGUACAUACAUGCAGCAAUUGUUCCCCUCCUGGAGGGUGGGCGGUGGUGAGAUGUAAACAGAGCACAAGCGACGACCACAGUUGUUGGAAUAGGAACGUAAUCGGCUUUCGAUUCGGUUCGUUCUACUGCAAUCCAAUAGCAAGAACUGCGACGACACAGCCAACCGACACCAAACGGCGCCUGCGCGCGUAGAACCACGCCACCCACAGUAUCGGGUGUCAGCAACAGCUGUUUUCUGGAACCAAUAAUCUGUAACUGUGACUGUACCCACCCACCCACGCCUCUUCGGACUACGCCUUAUCGGGAGCGCACAUAUUGGAUAUCACUUAUGUUUGUACGUAUGAGCCACAACCACCCAUCCACAAUCCACAACCUAUCCCUUGCCUAAACAAUGGAAAAUUUCCACUGUUCCUAAGCAAAUGUCCGGGGGUGUAAGUGUGUGUAUGUGCAGCUGUGGAUGACUGGAAGUCGGGCAAAUUCAAUGUGAAGGUCAGUAUUGGCACUCGUACAUUUCCAAGGGAAACUUAUGAAAUCCUUAGGCAACUGGUGUCAUCGAUUGGCAUGGUUUUCCCUGCACCAACUAAUCAAUUUUUUCUCACAAAUUAACUCACCUGCAGCUGUCCGCCGGCGGUACGCUUCACAUGCGAUGUCUGAUAUUCGUAGUCCGUCUCAAUGAAGUCAUCGUCCACCCGCACCUUGGGCGAGAUGAUUUCCAGCGUCGAAUUAUUUGUGGGCUUCAUUUUCAGCAAAAAAAAUGCAAUGUUUUUUCUGUCUGCGUGCGACUUUGUUUCUUUUUCUUCCUGUACUUUUGGCAAUUUUCACACCCACACCACUUGCGUUUAUCAAUUAGCGCGAUUUUUUUUUGUUUUGUUACAGGAAUUCUUUUCUCACUUGCUGCCGGGCUGCUUGCGCGGGAAUCCAAUGGGACUGGAAGGUUCUGCUGAAGGCAAUGAAAGCGAAUGAUUUGCCAAACGAGUGUGGAAGCCGCUUUUAUAGAACUGUGAGUACAGUGGCUCACUGCUUAGAUGAACCAGCGCACCUUUCACACUUAAAACUGUUAUAGCUUCUAAGCCAUCUAGCCUACCACUAAAAAUCAAAUGUAUACUGAUAGACAUACAUUUAACAUUAAUUUAAACCAACCUCAUAUGUAUUAAAACAUUUUUUUAACACAUCUUCAAGUGUGAAAGGUGCUCUCUGGUCUAUUUAAGCUGGGAGCCACUGUACAUAUGCACAUAUUUAUAUAUAAACACCAUGUGGACUCUCAGCCGCUCUCCCGCGCUCUGUAAAAACUGAGAAGAGAACAUUUGCGUGAGUGUGUGCUUGUGGAUGGGUUUCAAUCUGAACAGCACAGGAUUGAACCCCUUCUCAUCGUGCUCUUUAUAAAGAUCAUGGACAGGUAUUUAAGAAAGGUGAAUUAGUACAAGUCAAUUGAAAGCAAA